rnacentral:rRNA from 1 species
AGAGUUUGAUCCUGGCUCAGGACGAACGCUGGCGGCGUGCUUAACACAUGCAAGUGGUGCGACGAACCAGGGCUUGCCCUGGGGCAAAGCCGCGAACGGGUGAGUAACACGUGGGUAACCUGCCCCGAUGACUGGGACAACCCGAGGAAACUCGGGCUAAUACCGGAUGUGGCGCUCAGACGUAGGUCUGUGCGCUAAAG